rnacentral:rRNA from 1 species
CCCAGACUCCUACGGGAGGCAGCAGUGGGGAAUAUUGCACAAUGGGGGAAACCCUGAUGCAGCGACGCCGCGUGAGUGAAGAAGUAUUUCGGUAUGUAAAGCUCUAUCAGCAGGGAAGAAAAUGACGGUACCUGAUUAAGAAGCCCCGGCUAACUACGUGCCAGCAGCCGCGGCAAUACGUAGGGGGCAAGCGUUAUCCGGAUUUACUGGGUGUAAAGGGAGCGUAGACGGCAGCGCAAGUCUGAAGUGAAAUGCCGGGGCUUAACCCCGGAACUGCUUUGGAAACUGUGCAGCUAGAGUGCAGGAGAGGUAAGUGGAAUUCCUAGUGUAGCGGUGAAAUGCGUAGAUAUUAGGAGGAACACCAGUGGCGAAGGCGGCUUACUGGACUGUAACUGACGUUGAGGCUCGAAAGCGUGGGGAGCAAACAGGAUUAGAUACCCUUGUA